CCCUUAGAUGUUCUGGGCCGCACGCGUGCUACACUGAGUGGAUCAGCGGGUCAGGUUGCGCGAAAGUGUUUCCUAAUCUUUAAAUCCGCUCGUGAUGGGGAUUGACGGUUGCAAUUCUCCGUCAUGAACGAGGAAUGCCUUGUAAGCGCGGGUCAUCAUCCCGCGCUGAAUACGUCCCUGCCCUUUGUACACACCGCCCGUCGCUCCUACCGAUUGAGUGGUCCGGUGAGGCUUUGGGAUCUGAGCGGAAAGAGCGUUUCGCUGUUUCUGCCCGGAAAACUCAGUCGAACCUUAUCAUUUAGAGGAAGGAGAAGUCGUAACA
rnacentral:rRNA from 1 species